rnacentral:RNase_P_RNA from 1 species
GGACGGCCCCAGGCGAUCGCCUCCCGGCAGCGCCGGGGGGAGGAAAGUCCGAGCUCCCCGGGGCAGGGUGCUUCGUAACGCGAAGGCCGGGUGACCGGCGGAAAGCGCCACAGAAAGUAUACCGCCCCGCACCCAAAGGCUGCGGUGCCCCUGCACUGCAGCAGUCUGGUUUCUUUAUCCGCCGCCUUUGGGUGCGGGGUAAGGGUGAAACGGUGAGGUAAGAGCUCACCGGUUCCGGAGGCGACUCCGGAAGCCGGGCAAGCCCCACCUGGAGCAAGGCCAAAUAGGGAGGAAUGAGCCGCCCCGACUCUCAUCCUCCGGGUAGGCCGCGUGAGCCCGUCGGUGACGGCGGGCCCAGAUGAAUGAUCGCCACCCCGCACCCACGAGCCGCGAAGGGGGAGCAGGCAAUGCCCAUGUUCCCGCUGCGCUGCUUGUGGGUGCGGGGAACAGAACUCGGCUUAUGGGGCCGUCCCAUG